GGGGGCGGGGAACAGGAGGCAGCUGGGUGGCCACACUUUUCGUGGUCUCUACCCCCUCCCCAUGCCAGAGAGUCCUCACAGCCAGCUGGCCCGACAGGACGGAAAUCCUAUCCUGGCCACAGGACCAGGGUCCAGGCUCACUGUGGACAUUGUCUCCCUGUCCUCUUCUGCCUGGGGGAGGACUUUAAGGCCCCUGUCGGGGCCUCCGUUUGGGUUCGUCUGCUGGUUCAACUGGGGGUUUGGAGGGAGCCCACAGAGCUGGAGUGCCCUUCUUAUGACGUCGUAUCUAAGAGGUUGGUUCGUGCGCCUUCUCUCCAAGCAUCAGGCUCAACUCACCGGAGGAGGAAAGCGAAGCCUCUGGGCGCUUGUGACAGCUGACAUAUUCCCCGCAAGCUGAGGGAUGGUUCCCAUUAAAUGAGGAUUUAUGAUCAAUCCCCGCAAAUUAAGGCUGCCUUGUGAGCUGCAGACUGCAUGCUGGGGGAGCCUGAAACCAAGAACUGCCGGAAGGAGUAGACAACAAAAACACCAAGACAAUCUUGCUCUUUAUGGUCCAAAGACAUUUCAGUAGGACAGAAAACUUUUUUGGCAACAUCCCCAUGCCCCAACUCGAUGCCAUGGAUGUCCCAUGCCACCCCACCCCAAGGUGAUGUCAGCAGAGCCUGAGAGGGGAGUGCAGACACCCACCCCUCUCCCCUACAUUGGGCAGAGGCACUCCUUUCCUGUUUCAGUGUCAAUGAAGACACAUAGGAGACCCUGGGCUUCCUCUCUCAGGGCAGCUGGUGCCCCUCCCACUCCCAGCGUAGAGAUUGACAGGAGAAUUUCAGAUGGGAGAGGGCUGAAGAAAGGGAUUCUUUCAACUCACAUAAGAAGUCCUGGGCAGACACCUAACUGCUCACAUGUGAAACUGACCUGAAUAAACAUGCUGUGGCCCCUGGGCAGUAUACAAAGGAGACCAGAAUAGCACUGCAAGGAUUCCAAUCCAAACUGUCACCGGACCUACAGCCCACACCUGUAGCCAGGACCUGUGCUGGCUGUAGCCUGAGUGACCACUGUUUAAAUGGAAGAUUCAUAGAGGAUCCAGAUUGCCUAAUAUACCACCCAGAUGUCCGGGGUACAAUAGAAAAUCACUCAUCAUAACAAGGGGGUCUCUGGAAUGUUCACUGCACGGACUUACACGAUCACACAGGCAGCCCUGAGAUAGGGCACCUACCUGUACAUCAAUGUUCUAAAGUUUCAAAUGUCUGUAAAGAGUGUCCUUUGGGCAGUGAGGAGACCCUCAUGACUCUUUGUGGGGUAUGGGGGGCAGAGGACUGGAAAGGGGGAAAGAGAGUCAGGAGGGAAGGGAAGGGCGAUUUGGAAUGGGGAACACACACCAACACCUUCCAACGACGUUGAAAUAGGGUCCUUUUCUUGGGUUCAUCACACGAUUGACCAUUUUCUGUUGUAAGUACUCUGGAUUUAUGUUCAUGGCCAAAGGCAAUAAACAGACACUUGAUCAUUU